rnacentral:rRNA from 1 species
CAGAGUCACUGCUAUCUAGKGKUCGACUAAGCCAUGCGAGUCAAAUGUUCUUCGUGAACAUGGCGUACUGCUCAGUAACACGUGGACAACSUGCCMUAAGGUCUGGCAUAACUCCGGGAAACUGGGGAUAAUUCCAGAUAAACCAUGGAUACUGGAAUGUACUGUGGUUAAAAGCUCCGGUGCCUUAGGAUGGAUCUGCGGCCUAUCAGGUAGUAGUGGGUGUAAUGUACCUACUAGCCUACGACGGGUACGGGUUGUGAGAGCAAGAGCCCGGAGAUGGAUUCUGAGACAUGAAUCCAGGCCCUACGGGGCGCAGCAGGCGCGAAAACUUUACAAUGCGGGAAACCGCGAUAAGGGGACACUGAGUGCCAGCACCAUGUGCUGGCUGUCCGCAUGUAUAAAUCACAUGUGUCAGCAAGGGCCGGGCAAGACCGGUGCCAGCCGCCGCGGUAACACCGGCGGCCCGAGUGGUGGCCAUUAUUAUUGGGUCUAAAGGGUCCGUAGCCGGUUUGAUCAGUCUUCCGGGAAAUCUGACAGCUCAACUGUUAGGCUUCUGGGGGAUACUGUCAGACUUGGAACCGGGAGAGGUAAGAGGUACUACAGGGGUAGGAGUGAAAUCUUGUAAUCCUUGUGGGACCACCAGUGGCGAAGGCGUCUUACCAGAACGGGUUCGACGGUGAGGGACGAAAGCUGGGGGCACGAACCGGAUUAGAUACCCGGGUAGUCCCAGCCGUAAACGAUGCUCGCUAGGUGUCUGGGAUGGUGCGACCGUUUCASGUGCCGCAGGGAAGCCGUGAAGCGAGCCACCUGGGAAGUACGGCCGCAAGGCUGAAACUUAAAGGAAUUGSCGGGGSAGCMCUACAACGGGUGGAGCCUGCGGUUUAAUG